UUUUUUUUUUUCUUUUUUUUUUUUCUUUUUUUAAUUUUUUUUGGGAAAUCUCACAUUUAAAGCUGUCGUUCUGGUUUGGCCGCCCGUCACCGCCGUCCCCUCCCUCCCCUCCCUCGGCUUUUGGUUUCAAUGCAAGGUUCUGUAGGGUAGUUUUAUUCUUAAUUAAAAUUAAAAAAUUUUUUAAAAAUCAUAAUAAUUCCAAAAAAAAAAAAAAAAGCAAACCAGCAGGGAGCGGAGUGGAAAGGAGAGCAGCCCCUGUGGAAGUGCUCUCGCCCGCGGUUUCCCGGCGAGGUGGAGGUAGAGAGGCAGAGCCCCGGCAGGAGCGGGGCCGGGGACACGGCGGGGACACGGGGGGGACACGGUGGGGACACAUUGGGGACACGUUGGGGACAUGGCAGGGGACGGGCCGGACACCCGGGCGAGCAGGGGCAUCUGCAAUACUCUUAUAUAUUACCUCUUCUCAGGAAACGUAAGAAAAAUAGACAAUAUUACAUAUGUCACACCAUAAAUAAAGUGAACAGUCACGGGAGGGGUGAAGCUCCCAGGGUGGGGGGGGGGGCACAGAAACCACCCAGGGGGUGCACCGAGGUCUUGGGGGGCACAGGAAACCCCUGGGGGGAUGCCCCAAGACCUUGGGGUGCACAGGAAACCCCUGGGGGGAUGCCCCAAGACCUUGGGGUGCAGAGAAACCUCCUGGGGGUGGAUGCACCAAGACCUUGGGGUGCAGAGAACAUUCCCAGGAGGAUGCCCCAAGACCUUGGGGUGCAGAGAACAUUCCCAGGAGGAUGCACCAAGAUCUUGGGGUGCACAGAACCUUCCCAGGAGGAUGCCCCAAGACCUUGGGGUGCAGAGAAACCUCCUGGGGGGGGAUGCCCCAAGACCUUGGGGUGCACAGGAAACCCCUGGGGGGAUGCACCAAGACCUUGGGGUGCACAGAACCUUCCCAGGAGGAUGCCCCAAGACCUUGGGGUGCAGAGAAACCUCCUGGGGGGAUGCACCAAGACCUCAGAAGAAGAAGCCUGGGAGGAUUCAGAGAGAGCUCAGGGUGCACAGAAACCCCCCAGGGUUUUAGGCUGCACAGAACUCAUCCAAGGCGAUGAUUUUGGGGUGCACAGAAACCCCCCAGGGUUUUAGGCUGCACAGAACUCAUCCAAGGCGAUGCACCAAGAUUUUGGGGUGCACAGAACCCUCCCAGGGGCUGCACCAAGGCUUUGGGGCGCACAGAGCCACCAGCAGGGCCGGGUGCCGGUGGCACAGGACCAGGGACAUCACCCCUGGCGUGUCCCAAGCUCUGCUGUGGCUCAGCCCCCCUGCCCCGAGCCCUUCCCUCCUCUUCCUCCCGUAGGGAAAACACACAGGAUGGGUUUUGCAAAUGCGGAAAAACUACAGCUCCUCUCGAUGCCAGGCCUCGCUCCGGCCAGCGCCACGGCUCCACGCCUCCUCCUCAUCCUUUAUUUGGCAAACGUCUCUUAUUAUUAUCACUAGCAUCAUUAUUAUUAUUAUUAUUAUUCAUUUUUGGACCUCUGCAGACACUAUUUACAUUCACAUUAGCGCACAGCACUGCUGCCUCCGCUCGGAGCUCAGACUUUCCCUAUUGCACUUCCGUCCUCCGUGCCGCUCCGGCGAGGCAAGAAUCCCAAAUAAUCCACAUUGUCCUUGGCCAGGAAGGCGGCAGCGUUCCUUUUCCUUUCCUUUUCCUUUUCCUCUUAAAAAUCCUUGUGAAACAAAUCCAGCGCGGGGGUGUGGGAGCAGCCUGGCAGUGAAGGGAUGGGGGGGUCCCCCGACGGCUUCGGGGAGGGAGAAACCCAAAAUCCAUCUUUUAAUUUCCUUUUUUUUAAAUUAUUUUUUUAAUUAUUCUUUUUUUUUUUUUUAAUCUCCUUUUUGUUCUCCUUUCCCAGGGCGGUGGCGGGCAGAGGUAGAGAUGUGCCGGCUCCAGCUGCGGUUCUCAGCCCCAUCUCCCCCUCCCACACCUUGGGGGUUGGGGUUUUAGUAAAAAAACACUUUUUUUUUUUUUUUUUUGCUUUAUUUUAAUAGAAAUUCUUUAAAGCCCCAGGGGCAUGUCCAUCCAUCCUUGUGGGGAGGGGAAGGAAGCGACAACAGAACGAAACGAACUUUGGCAGUGGAGAGACGUUUGGAUCUUCCUUGGUUUUGGAUUUCCUUUGGAGCAGAGGUGGGUCUGGUCUGUUCUUGGCUAGCUAGCAAGGUAGUUACAGGUGAGCGUCCGUCACGCGUCGUCUGGUUUUUGGAUUUUUCCUUUUUUUUUUUGCUUUUUUUUUUGCUUUUUUACAAUUUCUUACUUAAAGCCAAAGAGUCCGACGUUUUCUUUUUUAUUUUCUUUAUUUUUUUACAAAAAAAAAAAAAAAGAGGUAAAAAUUAAAAAAAAAAAA
ensembl:lncRNA